UGGAGAGGAAACAGACAAGUAAAACGUAGCUCUGGAACAGACAUUUGUGAUAUCACAGUAGGGGUGAGGCAGAGCAUUACGAAUGCUAUGGACAAUCCCCUCAGAUUGGGAAGUGUGGAGGGCUGACUCUCAGAAAGAGUGGGAUUUAUGUUGAGAACUGAAGAAUGAGUAGGAAAGUUCACUGGGGCAAGAGAAGCUGAACACAAGGUCUAAAGAGGUGAAGGAGGGAUGGAAGGAGAAUAUUAUAUGGACUUUUUCAUUGACCUACUUUUUAAGGAAUGUGGAGGAAUGGAAAAUGGAGGUUGUUGAUUCUGCCUUAUGGAUGAAAUAUAGAAAACGUGAGGAAACUGAAGUUCAGAGAGGUGAUUUCCCCAAAUUAUAUACAGUUGUACAGGGCAGAGUAAG